rnacentral:rRNA from 1 species
AGAGCGAACGCUGGCGGCAUGCUUAACACAUGCAAGUCGCACGGGCAGUAGCAAUAUUGUCAGUGGCGGACGGGUGAGUAACGCGUAGGAAUUUAUCUUUGGAUGGGGGACAACCGUGGGAAACUACGGCUAAUACCGCAUGAUGCCUGAGGGCCAAAGCUUGAGAGAGCGUCUGAAGAGGAGCCUGCGUCUGAUUAGCUAGUUGGUGGGGUUAAAGGCCUACCAAGGCUGCGAUCAGUAGCUGGUCUGGAGAGGAUGAUCAGCCACAUUGGGACUGAGACACGGCCCCAGGACUCCUACGGGAGGCAGC